rnacentral:lncRNA from 1 species
UAUAUAUAUGGUGCAGUGGGAGUACCAUGAAGGCAACAAAAGUUGAGGAUUUGAUUUAAUAAGCACUUUCACAUUCAUAUAUGAGAUGGAACCAAUCGUAAUAUUUAUCAUUGUUGUUGUUUGCGUAUUCACCUUACUUGUAAUACUCACCACGAUGUGUCGACUGGCUACCGGAAGACGAGCAUUUGGAAGUGGUGGUGGUGGUGGUUUUGACCACCACCACAACCCCCAUCAUCUUCACAACCAAAUGAUGACGGGUGGGAUUAUUGGUGGCACUGCUCAUAGUGCAGGUGAUGCAGGAGGAGCUUUAAGUGCAGGAUGUGGAGGAGGUGGAGCAAGUGCAUGUUAAACUUGAGAGCAAUAGGGUUAUUUGAAGUUUGUGUAUAACAGAUUUGAUUCAGUGAUUUCUAUUAGGUUUAAGCUGUGAUGUUUUAUGUUUUAUUAUCAACAAAGCAAGUUCAUUGUAUUAUAAUUGUUAGUGACUGCAUUCCAUAUAUUCUUCCUAUUCAAGUUUGAAUAUAGUUUCAUUAUGAUAAUUUAUAGACAUCUUUAUAUCUUUAUACGCAUGUAACUUGAGGUAUUAUUACAUAAAACAAUACCAAUCGCUGUAAUCAAAAUAUGUUGGUUAUAAUUAUUUUAACUAAUUUAGACUCGACGAUGUAUUUAUCAUAAUAAAUUCGGUUUCAUAUUUCCAAAAAGGAAUAAAUGUACUAUUACGCGUCUAUAUGUUGAAACAUUCUCUUAUAAUGCUUACCAAACAAAUUAAUUUAUCAUAAUAUAAUACAUAAUUGAUUCAUGAUAAAACAGAAGUGAUACUUUCAUUGUAAAUAUAAUUAUUGUGGCCUUUAAAUAAAUUCGAAAGGAAAAAU